CCUACGGGAGGCAGCAGUGAGGAAUAUUGGUCAAUGGUCGCGAGCCUGAACCAGCCAAGUAGCGUGAAGGAUGACGGCCCUACGGGUUGUAAACUUCUUUUAUAAAGGAAUAAAGUGAGGCACGUGUGCCUUUUUGUAUGUACUUUAUGAAUAAGGAUCGGCUAACUCCGUGCCAGCAGCCGCGGUAAUACGGAGGAUCCGAGCGUUAUCCGGAUUUAUUGGGUUUAAAGGGAGCGUAGAUGGGUUGUUAAGUCAGUUGUGAAAGUUUGCGGCUCAACCGUAAAAUUGCAAUUGAUACUGGCAGCCUUGAGUACAGUUGAGGUAGGCGGAAUUCGUGGUGUAGCGGUGAAAUGCUUAGAUAUCACGAAGAACUCCGAUUGCGAAGGCAGCUUACUAAACUGUCACUGACACUGAUGCUCGAAAGUGUGGGUAUCAAACAGGAUUAGAUACCUUGGUAGUC
rnacentral:rRNA from 1 species